GUCGGUAGUCAGGGCUCUUGUUCUCUCUGGUAUCAGCCAUUCCUCCAGCCUGCAGGAGUCAUGAAGAAAACCAGCAAUACGAGCCUUCUCCUGAAUGAGCCACCAAGGAUGGACAGGAAGGAGAUCAGCAGAAGAAUAUUAGACCUCACCUUGGAGAUCAUCUCCCUGCUGAGCGGAGAGGAGUACACAAUAGUGAAGAAGACAUCGGGGGACUGUGUGACUCCCAUCAUC